UACGAAGGGGGCUAGCGUUGCUCGGAAUUGCUGGGCGUAAAGCGCACGUAGGCGGACUCUUAAGUCGGUGGUGAAAUCCUGGAGCUCAACUCCAGAACUGCCUUCGAAACUGGGAGUCUCGAGUUCGGGAGAGGUGAGUGGAAUUCCGAGUGUAGAGGUGAAAUUCGUAGAUAUUCGGAAGAACACCAGUGGCGAAGGCGGCUCACUGGACUGGUAUUGACGCUGAGGUGCGAAAGCGUGGGGAGCAAACAGG
rnacentral:rRNA from 1 species